AACGCGAAGAACCUUACCUGGGUUUGACAUCCUUUGACAUUUCGCCGAAAUGCGAACUCUGUAGUAAUACAGCAAAGUGACAGGUGCUGCAUGGCUGUCGUCAGCUCGUGUGGUGACAUGUUGGGUUAAGUCCCGCAACGAGCGCAACCCUUGUCUUUAGUUGCCAGCAUUCAGUUGGGCUCUCUAAAGAGACUGCCGUGGUUAACACGGAGGAAGGUGGGGAUGACGUCAAGUCCUCAUGGCCUUUAUAUCCAGGGCGACACACGUGAUACAAUGGACGGUACAAAGGGACGCCAAGAGGCAACUCGGAGCUAAAUCUCAAAAAAGCCGUUCUCAGUUCGGAUUGGAGUCUGCAACUCGACUCCAUGAAGUUGGAAUCGCUAGUAAUCGCGGAUCAGCACGCCGCGGUGAAUACGUUCCCGGGCCUUGUACACACCGUAGUAC
rnacentral:rRNA from 1 species